UACGGGGGGAGCAAGCGUUGUUCGGAUUUACUGGGCGUAAAGGGCGCGUAGGCGGUCAGCACAAGUCAGUUGUGAAAUCUCCGAGCUUAACUCGGAAAGGUCAACUGAUACUGUGCGAACUAGAGUGCGGAAGGGGCAACUGGAAUUCUUGGUGUAGCGGUGAAAUGCGUAGAUAUCAAGAGGAACACCUGCGGCGAAGGCGGGUUGCUGGGCCGACACUGACGCUGAGGCGCGAAAGCUAGGGGAGCGAACGGG
rnacentral:rRNA from 1 species